GGGUGCGUAGCUCAGUGGGAGAGCGCUUCCUUCACACGGAAGAGGCCGCAGGUUCAAUCCCUGCCGCACCCACCA
rnacentral:tRNA from 12 species